rnacentral:rRNA from 1 species
UACGUAGGGCGCAAGCGUUGUCCGGAGUUAUUGGGCGUAAAGAGCUCGUAGGCGGUCUGUCACGUCGGCUGUGAAAACCCGGGGCUCAACCCCGGGCCUGCAGUCGAUACGGGCAGACUGGAGUCCGGCAGGGGAGACUGGAAUUCCCGGUGUAGCGGUGAAAUGCGCAGAUAUCGGGAGGAACACCGGUGGCGAAGGCGGGUCUCUGGGCCGGUACUGACGCUGAGGAGCGAAAGCGUGGGGAGCGAACAGG